rnacentral:rRNA from 1 species
UACGUAGGAGGCAAGCGUUGUCCGGAAUUACUGGGCGUAAAGCGCGUGUAGGUGGUGGGACAAGUCUGCUGUGAAAGCGCCUGGCUUAACCGGGCGAGGUCGGCGGAAACUGUCCGACUCGAGGACGGUAGAGGGGGGUGGAAUUCCCGGUGUAGUGGUGAAAUGCGUAGAGAUCGGGAGGAACACCUGUGGCGAAGGCGGCGACCUGGUCCGAUACUGACGCUGAGGCG